rnacentral:rRNA from 1 species
GCCUGCCCUGUGACUCAGUUUAACGGCCGCGGUACCUUAACCGUGCAAAGGUAGCACAAUCAAUCGUCCUCUAAAUAGGGACUAGUAUGAAUGGCUUCACGAGGGCCUAACUGUCUCCCCUCUUUAAUCAAUGAAACUGAUCUUCUCGUGAAGAAGCGAGAAUAAAAAUAUAAGACGAGAAGACCCUAUGGAGCUUUAAACCCAUCAUCACCUGCCCUUAUUAUAUCAGAAUAAAUAGCAGCCCUGCUACUAGAUGGUUUUCGGCUGGGGUGGCCCUGGAGUAAAACAAACCCUCCAGACUGAAUGGUUUAAACCCUAAUCUAAGAAUUACUAUUCAAAGAAUCAAUAUUUUGACAUAAUUGACCCAAUAAUUGAUCAACGAACCAAGUUACCCUAGGGAUAACAGCGCAAUCCAUUUCAAGAGCCCCUAUCGACAAAUGGGUUUACGACCUCGAUGUUGGAUCGGGAUAUCCUAGCGGCGCAGCCGCUGCUAAAGGUUCGUUUGUUCAACGAUUAAUAAUCCCACGUGAUCU